rnacentral:tRNA from 1 species
GGGGGCAUGGCGCAGCUGGGAGCGCGUCUGACUGGCAGUCAGAAGGUCAGGGGUUCGAAUCCCCUUGUCUCCACCA